rnacentral:misc_RNA from 1 species
GAUGAAGAACGUAGCGAAAUGCGAUAAGUAGUGUGAAUUGCAGAAUUCCGUGAAUCAUCGAAUCUUUGAACGCACAUUGCGCCUUCUGGUAUUCCGGAAGGCAUGCCUGUUCGAGAGUCAUUAACAACCGUUUCGAUCCCUUUCUUUCAGAAAUUACAAAGAGGAAAAGGGUUUGGUUAUGGUGGAGGAGGGAAAGGGAGCGUUUAGCCUGUAAAAAAAGAGGCUGUGUUCCGCCUCCCCCCCCAAAUUGUACAGGCGGUCGUGUGCGCCCACGCAUCGAGGUGUUGUAAAAGCUGCCACGGCACUUUUCACCUGUGCAGUGCGAGAUUGGCCAGCCGGUUUAAAAACCCCUCCAAACAAUCAAAGGUUGACCUCGGAUCUGGUAGGGAUACCCGCUGAACUUAAGCAUAUCAAUAAGCGGAGGA